GGCGGACGGGUGAGUAAUGCCUAGGAAUCUGCCUGGUAGUGGGGGAUAACGCUCGGAAACGGACGCUAAUACCGCAUACGUCCUACGGGAGAAAGCAGGGGACCUUCGGGCCUUGCGCUAUCAGAUGAGCCUAGGUCGGAUUAGCUAGUUGGUGAGGUAAUGGCUCACCAAGGCGACGAUCCGUAACUGGUCUGAGAGGAUGAUCAGUCACACUGGAACUGAGACACGGUCCAGACUCCUACGGGAGGCAGCAGUGGGGAAUAUUGGACAAUGGGCGAAAGCCUGAUCCAGCCAUGCCGCGUGUGUGAAGAAGGUCUUCGGAUUGUAAAGCACUUUAAGUUGGGAGGAAGGGCAGUAAAUUAAUACUUUGCUGUUUUGACGUUACCGACAGAAUAAGCACCGGCUAACUCUGUGCCAGCAGCCGCGGUAAUACAGAGGGUGCAAGCGUUAAUCGGAAUUACUGGGCGUAAAGCGCGCGUAGGUGGUUUGUUAAGUUGGAUGUGAAAUCCCCGGGCUCAACCUGGGAACUGCAUUCAAAACUGACAAGCUAGAGUAUGGUAGAGGGGUGGGUGGAAUUUCCUGUGUAGCGGUGAAAUGCGUAGAUAUAGGAAGGAACACCAGUGGC
rnacentral:rRNA from 1 species